rnacentral:rRNA from 1 species
GACGAACGCUGGCGGCGUGCUUAACACAUGCAAGUCGAACGGAAAGGUCCUGAUUUUGUUGGGUGCUUGUGUGGCGAACGGGUGAGUAAAACGUGAGUAACCCGCCCUUGACUUUGGGAUAACUUCAGGAAACUGGGGCUAAAACCCGAUAGGAGCUCUUGCUGCAUGGUGGGGGAUGGAAAGUUUCGGCGGUUGGGGAUGGACUCGCGGCUUAUCAGCUUGUUGGGGGGGUAGUGGCUUACCAAGGCUUUGACGGGUAGCCGGCCUGAGAGGGUGACCGGCCUCCAUGGGACUGAGGGACGGACCAGACUGCUACGGGAGGCAACGGGGGGAAGUCUGACGCAGUGACGGGGAGCCUGUGACGGCAGCGCCGCGUGCGGAAUGACGGCCUUCGAGUUAUGAACCGAUUUGGCCUGUAACGAGGCGUGAGUGACGGUAAUGAAUAAAAAAGCACCGGCUAACUACGUG